rnacentral:lncRNA from 1 species
GUCAGAGAGCGGAGAUGUGCCCUGCACUGACCCAGGUCCUGACUCCCCACAGGCCUGGGUGACAGCCAUGGUGCAGAGGGACAGCUGGACUGGGCUGAAUGACCUAGAUGGCGACGGCAGCUGGACGUGGGCAGUGGCUCAGCACGCAGAUGGUGCUGCCCCCUGGCUGGCCGAUGUGCCGCUCCUUCCGGGAGGCUGCCUGAGCAUCGGAGCCCCGGGGGAUUCUGGCCUUACCGUGUCCAACUGUUCAGGACUCAAGCCCUGGGUCUGCGAAGGAGCGGAGGUUCCCUGGAGCCGCUGCCCCACGGAGCCUGGCUGGAGACACUGGAAUGGUAACUGCUACUACUGGGACUCGUCCUUGGCCGGCAGCACCUGGCAGGAGGGGCUGCAAGUGUGUCGGCAGUUCCGACAGACAGAGCUGCUGUAUCUGACCUCGCGCCAGGAGAAGGACUGGAUAUGUUCAAACUUCAGGGGUGCCUUCUGGACAGGCCUGAAUGAUCAGACGGAUGAAUCCGUAUUUCAGUGGACUACACGCGAUCCCAUCACCAGGCAGCUCGCGGAGCACUUACGAGACGACCUGGCGGACGGCGGCCUGAAGGAUUGUGUGUGGCUGGAUACAGCAAGCGGACUUCUAACGGAUGCCAGCUGUGAGGAGAGAAAGCCGUUCAUCUGCAAGUGCAGCGAGGCUACCGAGUGGUUUGUGAAGCAGCCUGGCCGGGGCGUGGUGGGAGACCCAGCAUUCCUGCACCCCUCUGCCGAGAGCCUGGAACAGGCCAAGCAGGAGUGCCUCCGUGAGAGGAGUGUGUGCGCAGGCGUUCUGCAGGCUGGGACAGGCGUCUACCUGAUCAGCUCCAAGGCUGGCAUCAUCUCCCGACCCAACUCCACACUCUACAUAUGGACCAUAUGUGCUGAGGGGUUCAGCGGCCUGCGCUGUCAUAGAUACACUGCCCCCCAAGAGCGACCCCCAUGUGAUUGCAGUGGCAGAGUCCGGGUGUCGGCAACCCAAGGUGAGAGCCCUGGCCCUUCUGCUGCCUGGUCUGGUGAGGUGAGAAAAGGGGCUGGGUGUGGCGGGAGCCUUGGGGUGUGUCAUUCCAUAGGGGAUGUUAAUUGGGAAUCCUACAAAAAGUGGAAACAGGGAUGAAUUGCUAAAGCGGAUUAUAAAAGAAUAGCACAAGCAUAGAAUCAUAGAACUGGAAGGGACCUGGAGAGGUCGUCUAGUCCAGUCCCCUGCACUCAUGGCAGGGCUAAUUAUCUAGACCAUUCCUGACAGGUGUUUGUCCAACCUGCUCUUAAAAAUCCCCAAUGAUGGAGAUUCCACAACCUCCCUCGGCAAUUUAUUCCAGUGCUUAACCACCCU